ACUUUUGUUUUACUCACCCCAGCUACUGCAGCGUUUGAGCCAUCCGAGGAGUUUAAAUCUUUAUCUUGGACGAUCAAGAACAAUUCAGAACGUGGCUGUUAGAAAAAAAAAAAGCUCCCAAGACUCUGCCUGAUCGCUUGCCCGGGAGCUGGAAACACCCACCCUGGCUGCUCCAGUGCUUGCAAAAGUUCACCAGCUGUUCUAACCAGCAAAGCAUGACAUGAGUCAGCAACUUUGAGACCUCUAUGUGACUACCCACCCGGAAUAAAUUUCACAGAGAGAUAAUGGUCUCAUCAUGUCCCUGGUGCCGUAAGGAGAGAAACUCCAUCUGUAAGAGGGAAAGUUGGACUGAAAAUUAGCUGCAGGCCUUGAACUAGCAGUCUCCACUAAUCUGCUUGAUUUAUUAAGGCAGAAUUUAGGAUCAUCUACAGUAUGAAAAAUCAAGUAAAAUGUUGAUUAGCUGGAGUAAAGUUUGGAUUUAGUAACGUCAUGAAGAGACAGGGAAUUUACUGCAGCUUCUUGCCUGCACCUAUCUCCUUCUCCAGCCACUAUACUCUGCUCCUCCGUCUUCCUGCUCAGGCCCCCAUCCAGCCAAGCAGUGAUGGGGAGGUCCUCUCAGGUUAAAAAGAUAUGUCCAAUUCAACUGCUGCCGAAGAGGGUCACUAGCUAAGUAGUUGGUCUGAGAUUCCAGAGUCUUGAAGGAGAGUUUGCUUCCUUUCCCCUAGAAAAUGGUUUGGAAGACGAUCCUGUUUUUCUUCAAUGACAGGGACACAGUGAAUGAGUUUUUAGGGGAACUCCUACAGUUUAGGGGAAGAGUUUCAGUCCCUCAGGAACCACACAUGGAGUGUCCUUUCUCUGCACUUGAGUGGCAGAAAAUGAGGAAGAACUGAGAGGAGGUAGCAGUUGCCUCUACAAAACCAUGUCCCCACAUGCCCUGAACUCAGUGAAGGACCCUCCACUUGUAUAAGAAGGUAAAGGAGCUGAGUCCAGCAGUGACAAGGUCAGUGAGACUUUCCCCAUGACCAGCAUUAAAUCUGUAGAUAAGUAUCAGGGUGUCAGUUAUUUGUCUAUUCUCCGCCAUGUGGGAGGGGGGAAGAGUCAUGCUGUCAGAUUGCCAGGGUCUGAAAGGGCAGGAGUCUUGGAGUUGUGCUCAGAAGCACAAGGUCUCUGCACAGAUGGUUCUGUGCCUCUGCCAUAUUCAAUACUAUGUAUCAUUGAACCUUUUCUCAUUCUGCAGUGAGAAGAGACAUUCCUGGCCUGUCCCUUCCCAGCUUCAUAAUCCAGGAGGAAACAUCGGUAUCGAGCCUCAGAAACCCCUCCCUCCGCCCCACUACACUCCCUGGUCUCUUCCCAUUUUUUUCUCAUGGGGGGUGAGGGCAAUCUUGUCUGUGUUAGGACCUUAGACUUUGGCCCACAGUAAACUGUUGGGAAUUAGACAUGAAUCAGGCUUGUGUAUUGACACUAGAGUUUUAUUUUAUGCUCUGUAUUUCAGCACCGGGCGUUUCAUCCUCCUAUGACAAAGUUACAUAUUUUCAGCCAAAGAAUUUACUGGAUGCAAGACAUUCUAGGAAGAUACUAAGGGAAAGUAAUCUCUACCUUUCCAUCACAAGGACGCUAAAAGAACAGUGGACAUUUAUAAUAAUGUGCUAGCUACUGUGUUAACUCCAUUCGUGCCCUAGUUUGACUUUGUUCUACACACUGUAAACAGUGCUGGUGUAGGCCCAUGCAUUUGGGGCAAGACAAUCUAAACCUACAGCAAGCUUUUCAUUUUUGGUAUAACUGAAUGCAAAUGCUGUGCUGGGGGCAAUAGAGGCAGAUUUGGUAUGGUCUCACUGGUACAACAGUGGUUUCAGGCAUCCCCAGCCAAUGACAGGAGAAUUCUAGGCUCAUGUGUGGUGUGUUCCCCCAGAUUGGUUUUGACACGAAUGCAUGUAGCUGCAGUCUGUCUUUUCAAGAAGCUUUUCAGAAGGAUGGCCUGGACUCCCAUGUACAGGAGAUAUACGGCUGAGUGCUUUUGUUAUAGGGGAUAUGCAGUGUCUGAUUAAUUUAAUUUACUGACCAGAGAUUGGCUAAAAUUGAACCGCUGCAUAAAUGAGAUUAUGUGGAUUGGUUCAGGCAGGAAAUGUGAAGAAAGUGUCAUUUCCCUAGGCCUUCUGAAUUGUAAUGAGGAGCUGCUUCUCCGGACCAGCAUAGUGUGAUCAUUGACCUAAGGCUGAGUUGAGGACAUCUGGAGUCAACUAUGGACUGCUGUAAUGUGCUACAUGCUGGGCAACCUUAGUAAGAGAUCUGCUGCCUGCAGCUGGUUCAGAAUACAGUGUCUGAUUGUUGCAGGGGGUGAUUAACAGAGGUCAGUCUGACUGCUCACUGUCUUGCUAUCUAGCUCAGCUGCCUGUUAGCCCAAGUAUCAAGGUUAAAGUUUUUAAUUUUAAUAUUUAAAGCUCCAAAUGGAUUCUAUCCCAAGUGUCUUUCUGAACUUCUGAUGCCCUGUAUUCCAUCCCAGCCUCAAAAAUCGGAGGGAAAGACAACUUUUUGACCUGAGGGCUUUUAGUGAUGGACUAAGCAGAGGUUGUACUUUUGCCUGUGGAGCUCUAGGUCUGCGGCAAUGCCUUCCUUCCAGAGCUGAGAACAAUCAUACAUUUGGUAUUUCUAAGAGAUCUAUACACCAGCAUUCAGAAAUGUGAGAACCCCUGCACUGUAAUUGUUUUAACUGUUUCUAGAUAUGCUCUGAUUGAAAUGUGCACUUGUGCGUUGCACACUGAUUGUGUGAACCCUGCUGGCGCUCACUAAAAGUUCUCUAGUGUGCACUGACUCAGUCCUGUUUCACAGACAGUUGGUGCAUGACACACUGAGACAAACUAGAAUUUACACCCCCAUUGGUGCGCACUUAUGCAGCAUGUAGAUAAGCCCUUAGCUCAGGCAGAACACCCAUUACAUUCAGUAGGAGUUUGAUGGGCUCCAGAAUCCGUCAUUUAGUUCAUACUGUCUAUUUUGAUCUACCCAUCAACAGGAUUCAUACUGUAAAGGCGACACUAUUUAUUCAGGCAAUCUGUAUUUUUAGCAUCAAAAGCAUGGGAUAGAAUUUAAUACACACAGAUUAUUUGGAUAUUUUAUUUUCAUCCAUAAAGUUCUACAAAUGAGCAAAUAAAGGAAGUAAAGAACACUACACUUAAAAUGAAUUGUGUUAACUUUGGCAAACACUCUGUUGCUGAGUUCAUUGCAGUAGCAUUUGCAAAAAUGAUACUAGAUUUUCAGUCCUAUGAGCUUUAUAUUAAAAGUAAAUUAUCACCAUUAAGCAACAAAGGAAUUGCCACAGAGCAUAAUUUUGAAACAACAGCUACAAUAAGUUACUUUGAUAGCUCAGAUAACAUGUUAUCUAAAGUAAAACUAAAUAGCUAUUUAAAAGAAUUCCUCAGUGUGACUGCUAGUGUUGCAAAUACUAUAUUUCUAUUUUAUAAACUGGUGGCUUAUCAUCUUUGAAGGCAUGCUGGAGAGUGUUAGAGUUUAUUCUAUCAUUUAGAUCAGCUUUAGGCAAUUAUAUAUAUAAACAUAAUGACAUUCUUACUCUUUUUUAAAAUGGAUUGAUCUCAAGUCUGUGAUGAAUGAAUCUGCAAUGUGUUUUCCUGAAAUCUUGUUUGAACUGAAUUAAUCCAAUAUUAAUUUAUUUUACAUGUGCCAGAAGCAUCAUCCUAUUAUUAAUAAGUUGAAACAGACAGCAGGAAAAGGAGGUCCCUCCCUAGCAUUGCCAGAGUGCAUCUCUGUGUGUAUCCAGCAAUCUGUGUGAUAUGUUGACAGAAUGAGGCCAGGGAUGCAAAUAAAGGAAACUUUUCCCCCACUCCUAGCAGUAAAUAUAUUUAUUUAUAUAUGAAGUUAGAAAACACAGUUUAUUGCUUGUCAUUCAUUAACGUACUGAAUGGUAGU